AGGACGAACGCUGGCGGCGUGCUUAACACAUGCAAGUCGAGCGGAAAGGCCCUUCGGGGUACUCGAGCGGCGAACGGGUGAGUAACACGUGAGCAACCUGCCCUUAGCUCCGGGAUAGCUCCGGGAAACCGGAAUUAAUACCGGAUACGACCACGGCCGACAUCUGCUGUGGUGGAAAGGAUUCCGGCUAAGGAUGGGCUCGCGGCCUAUCAGCUAGUUGGUGGAGUAACGGCCCACCAAGGCGACGACGGGUAGCCGGCCUGAGAGGGCGACCGGCCACACUGGGACUGAGACACGGCCCAGACUCCUACGGGAGGCAGCAGUGGGGAAUAUUGCGCAAUGGGCGAAAGCCUGACGCAGCGACGCCGCGUGGGGGAUGAAGGCCUUCGGGUUGUAAACCCCGUUUCAGCAGGACGAAGCGAAAGUGACGGUACCUGCAGAAGAAGCGCCGGCUAACUACGUGCCAGCAGCCGC
rnacentral:rRNA from 1 species